rnacentral:lncRNA from 1 species
AAAAACCUGGACCUCAGGUCGGCAAACUAUAUUUUUACACAGGUAACUACAGAUGUUAGACCACAUGUUCAAUAAUCUGAGCUGGAAAAUACAAUCGGUGAGUAGAAAUUAUCAAUAUUUUAAAGCAUGUCUAUCGAAUAAUCAUGGAUUCAUAAUUUUGAAGGGAAAAUGUGCACAUUUGUCGGCUUACAGACCUUACAAUGUGUUCUCAUUGGCGGAUCCAAAGGGGGGGGGGGUUCCAAGGGUUCGAACCUCCUUUGUUUUGGCCGCUCAAUGCAUUUAAAUGGGGACAUAUAGUUGGACCCCCCUGUUUGUUCUGGGUUGGACCCCCCCUUUUUUAGAAUGGCUGGAUCCGCCACUGAUCCUACGGAAUCUAUAUUGAGAUACUCCGAUAGGCUAUAUAUAGCUAUGAAUCGACGUUCUAUAUUACCACACUCGUGCAUAGUUGCAUGUUCCAGGGAAAAUAUAAGCUUUGAGCCACCUUUGAGCUUCAAUGUUAAAGUUGUGCAUCAUAAUAAAUCAUUGAAAGUCAUAAAGGACACCGUUCCCCUCCCCCUAUUAUCAUGUGUAUGUCAUUUAUUCCCUUAAUUAUUUUGCAUACAUCACCCUGAGUGUGGAAUACAAUAAAAGGUUACUCUAUAUCUUCCCCUUUUUUGUGGGAAUAAUUUGGUCGAUUAUAUAGGGAAUCACUCAAGCAUGACUGGAUCCGUGCCCCUAAGGGCAGUCAGGGGCCCUGUCCCUUAUGAAAAGUUCUGGAUCUGCCACUGACCUGCUACUAUCAUCAUGUAGUGUACAUAUUGUAUGUUAAUGUAUUGCUAAAUCUGGUCGGGUCAUAAAUUUGCAUGAAAUACUUGUCACUGGACAUUUUAUAACCAACAACCAACCGAUCUUUACAUGUACGUAUCCAUAUAAAUGUGUUUCUUAUCAUGCUUAUGCUGGAUUACUAGUAUUUCCCUGGUUUUGCUUUAUCAGCUGAUAGUUUUUGUUCUAUUAAGAAUGCAUUGUGACGUCACGAUUUCCAUAAAAAAAACAUGCAUAGUACAAACACAUAUGAUUUGAUCAUAAAAUGUUAAGAAAAUUAUUAACUUUAAGAUUAAAUAGUGACUUAUUUAGCAAGUGUCCACUUUCAUUUAGAUUUUAAAUAAUUCUCAAAUCACAUGAAUCAUGGACAACAAAACAUUAAUAUAUUUGAUAAUAGCAGGCAUUGAAAGUGAAUAAAUAUUUUAAAAAUGGUUUAAAAUAGCAUUAAUCAUCAAAAUAAAACAAUAUUAUUAAAUUAAUGUUCCUGAAACAAGGCACAGAGUCAUAAACAGUUGCCAUUUAAACACAGUUGAUUAAACAAAUUGUGCUAAUUCAAUUAGUAAUUGUUUUAUCAUGUACUACAUUGUUUAAAAAACACAUAUUAAAAGAGCAAAGCUAGCAUCAUAAUUUUAUUCUUUUUAGAUUUAACAUAGAAUUUAUAUUAAAUCACUAUAAUUUGUUAAUACUUUGAACCCAAACUAUAUAUUUUCAUGUGAAAUUUUUAUAUAAAUUGUGCCCUGUUAGCAUUGUUUUUCAAAAUUCAUUUGUGCCAUACAUGUUAUCUAACUUACAAGUAGUAACAUUCAAUGGUCAUUAUAUUUAUUCCGCAAUGAUUAAGGACCUUCUAAUCAUAAGUCAUAUAUAUUUUUCGACACGCAUUCAAUUGUGUUUUGGUUACUUUAUUGUUGCCUAUUAACUGUUGGGUUGAUGCAUCAUUGAUAUAUCCCACAUCUCCUUUGAUCAUGUGCAUUCACAUACGACUGCAGAUUUUUUGCAUUUUUUACAUAAUCAUGAUAAUUAUUUUAUGUUAACAUUCAAUAUGUCAGGAAAACAUAACAAAAAAAUCUAUCUGUAUGCAUAUUUUUUUAUGUUAACAUGGUAUAAACUUUUUUAAAGUAUUUUAUGAAGCUCAAAUAUUUUUUUUAUAGAUAUAGUAUUAUCCAGUAAGUUCUCAUAAAAUUUACUGUGUUAACUGCAUUGUAUGUGUUGUAUCUACUAAUUUAGUCUAAAACAAUUUUUUUUUAAUUCAAAUUCAAAAUAAACAAUUAAAAUAUUUGUAUUUACUGAAUAUGACCAUGCAAAUGUGACAUUAAAAUAGGUAAUAAUCAGGAUGUUAACACUGGAUAUGCGAUAGGUAAUAAUCAGAAAUUCUUAUAUACAUGAUGUAGCUAAUAUACAAAUUAAGACACAAUAGUUUAUUGCCCUGGGGGAUGAUAUUUAAUCUGUCAUUGGUAUAAUGAUACAAUUUUAUAAUAAUGUUCACAAAUUAUCAUGAUUAAAAUUGUCCUCUUCAAAAUUUUGAUAACUUUUUCAAAACAAAUUAUAAUUUAAGAAAAAUAUGAAACAGCAGGAUAUACUAUUAUUUUGGAUAUUAAAAUGCAAAUUUUAAAAGUAAUCUGAAUAUUGAUUUAUUAAAAUAAAAUUGGGUAAAUAACUAAAUUAAAUAAAAAAGUGAGCUGCAAAGCAUUAUUUAAUGCAAGCUGUUAUAACAAAUGAAUAAGUAAAAAGUAUUCAGGGUAACACAAAAGAUGUAAAAAUUAUUAAACUCAAGGAUUUAAAACAUUAACUGGGAUGGUUAAGUCUUGGAACAAUAUUUUUACAUCACAAAGGUUUAUUCAUUAUAUGCACUGGACAAAGGUAAAGUCAAUAUCAUCUACAUGUAUAUAUAUAGUAACAGUGCAUUUAUUUUAUUUUAUUUUUUCAUUCCUUAAACUUUUCUUUGUCAUGUUUGUAGUAUCAAUAUAUUUCAUAUUAAAUGAUAAACAUAAUUAAAAUGAACAAAAGAAAUAACCUGUUGUGUUUUAGAGAGGAAUAACUAUGUCCAUGAUGUCUGACUUUAAAGAAUUGAUGAAAUAAAGUAUGGUGUGAGCCUCAAUAAGACAGUAACCCUUCAAUGAAAGUACACAAUCACACUUAAAAAAUCAUUAAUGCAGGAAAAAAGACAACACUAUAUAGAAUUUAGACCCCCUUAAAAGAUUUAUUUUUCUUGUUAAUAGGGACUUGAAAAUAGAAUUGUAUUAGUGCUAGAAUUUUUUGGUCAAUCAAAUGAGAAGUGCUAGUUUUAUCUAGGUAAAUACAGUUAUUGUAAUUAACUUUCUUAUUAUUGCACAAUGUAUAUACAUGUAGUAUUAUAUAUUUAUUAUUAGUUAAACAUUUACUGUACUUGAGUCUAAAUGUAUAUUUUAUUUUGUAGAAUCAUACUGAAUAUGUAUUGGUUUGACCAUGAUUCCCACUUAGAAUAUGACACCUGCUAGUACAUGUGCACUUUGAUGCAUAGAAAAUAUAGAUGUCACUGAGUCGCUCGUAUAGCUGCAAAUUGUGAAACAAUGGAUUAAUUCAUUAUUUAAUGCUAGUUAUCUAUUGUUUUUGGAAAUUAUGAAUAUGGCG